rnacentral:rRNA from 1 species
GACGAACGCUGGCGGCGUGCCUAAUACAUGCAAGUUGAGCGCUGAAGGUUGGUACUUGUACCAACUGGAUGAGCAGCGAACGGGUGAGUAACGCGUGGGGAAUCUGCCUUUGAGCGGGGGACAACAUUUGGAAACGAAUGCUAAUACCGCAUAAAAACUUUAAACACAAGUUUUAAGUUUGAAAGAUGCAAUUGCAUCACUCAAAGAUGAUCCCGCGUUGUAUUAGCUAGUUGGUGAGGUAAAGGCUCACGAAGGCGAUGAUACAUAGCCGACCUGAGAGGGUGAUCGGCCACAUUGGGACGGAGACACGGCACAAACUCCUACGGGAGGCAGCAGUAGGGAAACUUCGGGCAUGGACGAAAGUCUGACCGAGCAACGCCGAGUGAGUGAAGAAGGUUUUCGGAUCGGAAAACUCGGUUGGUAGGGAAGAACGUUGGUGAGAGUGGAAAGCUCAUCAAGUGACGGUAACUACCCAGAAAGGGACGGCUAACUACGUG